rnacentral:sRNA from 1 species
AUCUAGCCCUGAUUGUAGAGAAAAUAAAAAAAUGCUUCCAUUGUAUGGAAGCAUUUUUUUAUUGUAACGAAAAGCAGGAAAAUGG